rnacentral:lncRNA from 1 species
GUAGAAUUUGAAGCACCUGGCAAGAAGAUAAAAUAACUUUUCAUAAAGAUGGAGACUUGCCAUGAAUGAAACCAGCCCUGGUGGUCAGAAUUCUAAAAUCAAGUUGUCAGCAGGGAUGGGUCCUUCUGGAGGUUCAGGUGAGAAUCCUUUUCCCUGCCUUUUUUAGUUUCUAGAGGCCGCCUGCCUUCCUUGGCUCAAGAUCCCCACCUCGCAUCACUCGGACCACUGCUUACUUCCAUUGUCACAACUCCUACUGUCUGAGCCUGUGUCUUCUUUCAUCCCUUAUAUAACGACACUCAUGAUUGUGCUGGGUCUACCCAGACCAUCAGGAUCUUUUUCCUCAAGAUCCUUGACUUGAUCAUAUCGGCAUAGUUCAUUCUACCAUAGGAAGUAGCAUUCACAGGUUCUAGGGAUGAGGACAUGGAUAUGUUUGGGAGGGACAUUAUUCUACCUAUGAUAGAAGACACAAGUGGAUUAUUUUAAAAAUAGGGAGCAAGUAUUCUUCAUGACUGGAUACUGGGGCUGGGGGUGGAGGCAGGGGUAGGUAUUGCAUUUACAUGCAGGAGCACCAAGGCAGACAGAAGCAGGAAGUGAGCUGCAGAGACAAGCAGAGCUCAUAGGCCCAGGGCUGCGACUCUCGAAAUCCUGGGACAAGUUUAAGUGUGAAUAGCUGGGGGUGGGGGAGGGGCACAGUGACCACCUGGGUUACAUGGAUGGAGAACUCAAUGAAUAUACAAAUUGGUAUCAGUGUUCUCUUCCUGGUGAGGGAAAAACCAAGCUGUCCCCUGCUUCCCUCCUCCAGGGGUUCAGGUGCUGGGCAUAGUCUCUUCUGUCCCAGGAGUUUAGAUAAGCACUCAGCCUGUGCUUGCACUUGGGGCCGGUCGGGGGGAGCCUCAGGGAGGUGAAGGCCAGGCAGAUGUGCACUUCCUGGGCAGCCUCCCCAGACAGCGGGAGGCCUGGGAAUUUGGGCCUAGAACAAAGCCUCUCUGCUGGGAGCACAAACAGGCUGCCAAGAAUGUCGCUCCACUGGUUCCUGCGCCUGCCCCUCAGAGCCCUGCCCUGGGCAAUGUGGAAGAGCAUCAACAGAAGGAGAAAAUCAAUCAAGCCCUGGAAAGCCAACCCCACUGGCACACGCAGCCCUCGUCCUCUCCACUCCUUCACAGCUCCUCAGAUAAUCUGCCCCAUUGGUUUCAGGCCUUUAUGCAUUUUGUUUGGUUUCUAGAGGUGGGUGGAUAUUCUGCAGAAGAAAAGGGAUUCAGAUAUACUGGGCGUUCAGCUGAAAUAAUCCUGUGGAAUAACCACUAUGACCCUCACUUUUGGAAGGAGGCUCAGAGAGGUUAGGCCACUUGCCCAUGGUCACACAGCACACAGGUCAUAGAGGAAAGACAAUUCUGGUCUCUGUGUGGCCUUCCCCAAACUCCAUGCUCUUCUCAGCUGACAGUUGCCUCCUUCCCUCUUUCAACCUGUUAGUGGACAUAGACUUGUGGAACAGGCCCAUUUCCUCCACCACUAAAUAAUGGGAAACACAACGGCUUAACUCAAAACAGGGUGGGGGUUGGGAACAAAGCCAUGCCAAGAUAUUUUAAGUCAAACUUCGCGAUAAACGGAAAUUUGAUAUUUCUGGAUAAUUCCCAAUGAGCACCCUUCCCCUUUAAUUAUCUUGUGGUCGCCCUUUCAGAGGUGAUUAAAGCUAUUCUUUAGUAGAUGUGGUUAUAGAUUGAGUGGGAACCUGGUCUUUCUUGUGGUUUUUAUCGUAGCAAUUAAAUCUGGCCAGCUCAUAGAAGCUGUGUGGCAGGAGGGGUUUUAUCAAGCAAAAUGAUUUUCCCCUUCGAGCAAUGUUAAAUUUAGGAAAAAUACAAUUAAUUAUACCAGACAGGUAUCUAUUAUACAUUGUGCAUGCAUUAGAGCUCCUGGGCUCGUUUCACUCAGAGAGGGAGGCUCUCUCCUCCUAGCCUGUGUGUGUCCCAGGCCAAAGCCCUUCACUGAGGGCUGGCGGGAAGCUUCCUGCCCCCUCCCACCCCUCAAUUCAACACCCACAACUCUUUGGAAGUAAAAAUGAAAGGACUUAUGUUUACCAGAACUUUCUCAAAUGCUAUCAAAGGUGUAUUUUGGUGUUUAUGUUGAUAAAUAAGGGUGUUCCCAAAUAGCAGAGAAAAAAACCUUUCACCUCUUAGAAGAAGAAAAAGACAAAAAAAAAUUCAUCUGACCUCUGCCCUCUACUCACUGUGACUCAGGUGGAUCCCCCCAAGAUCUUCGAGGCUCCUUUUUUCCCCUUCUGCAAAAUGAGAGGGUUAGACCAGAUAACUUCAAAAUCCUGCUCAGCUCAGAGCUAGGAAUGUAAACGAAGGCUCAGUGGCACGAAGUCCUGAUUCCUCGUUAAAAGACAUAAUUAAUAUUUUUUCUCAGGUGCUUGCUUUGUGUUCCUGAUGUUGAAAGGGGCUUGGGAUUCGUAUAUGAUUAUACUGUUUCCUUUUUGCUGGAAGCUUCAUUAGCGCUCAGAUAAAUUUAGGAAGAAGGAUUCUUAAACAUUAUUGAUAAGCUUCGCCCAUCUGUAUUGCCAGUGGGAGCUGGUGUUGAGCAUAUGCUCUGGAAGUAUUUGCUGAGAAACAAAAGGGUGACUUUUGAAGAUGUCAGUGAUUUGAUACCAUCUCCUAAACACCAAUGAAAUGUCAGACAUGUCCAUUACUCACUCAUGCGAUGCAGAUACAUUUUUAUAGAAUGCACAUGUCCAGCUGGUCCAUGGACUGGGUUUAUGAUGCAGCCAGCUUGGGUGCAAGGUCCCAAGUGCUUCCAUCUCUUUGUCUGAUCCUAGUCCCUUCUC